rnacentral:rRNA from 1 species
AUUGAACGCUGGCGGCAUGCCUUACACAUGCAAGUCGAACGGUAACGGGCCUUCGGGUGCCGACGAGUGGCGAACGGGUGAGUAAUACAUCGGAACGUGCCCGAUCGUGGGGGAUAACGAGGCGAAAGCUUUGCUAAUACCGCAUACGAUCUACGGAUGAAAGCAGGGGACCGCAAGGCCUUGCGCGGACGGAGCGGCCGAUGGCAGAUUAGGUAGUUAGUGGGAUAAAAGCUUACCAAGCCGACGAUCUGUAGCUGGUCUGAGAGGAUGAUCAGCCACACUGGGACUGAGACACGGCCCAGACUCCUACGGGAGGCAGCAGUGGGGAAUUUUGGACAAUGGGCGCAAGCCUGAUCCAGCCAUGCCGCGUGCAGGAUGAAGGCCUUCGGGUUGUAAACUGCUUUUGUACGGAACGAAAAGCCUUCUUUUAAUACAGGAGGGUCAUGACGGUACCGUAAGAAUAAGCACCGGCUAACUACGUG